rnacentral:sRNA from 1 species
AAAUAUUCCCUAUGCGACAUGCCACUUUUUGAAGGUUGACCCCGUGAUCGGUCAGACAUGAUUCCACUGGCUGCGAUCGGCUGCGGAAGCGCCGGGUGCGGCAGCCGGCACGCGACAAUCGUCCUCGGCCAGAAGCUCACCGAGGGCCCUGCCGUGACCUUGUUCAUCAAACUGAUCGGCAAGCUGUUUUCCCAGGCGAACAACCGAAAAAAGCAACGCCACGUGAACUCCCGAACGGAGACAUCCAAGGCAUCCUCCACCAUGGCUUCGAGCUCGGGUUUCAUGCGCAGGAGCCGAUGCUAGUUGACCCUGCGGUCGAGGGUCUCGAACGCAUUUUCCUCACCUGCCGUUGGCCGCCUGAAGCGUAGACCCAUCAUCCGUGUCAGAGACGAUAGUUCAAACGCUGUUCGAGACUCCGCUCGCGCAGAGCCUGUUCGAGAAUCUUGAAGGCGAAGGGGAGGGGCCGGCCUUUCC